AACCAGUUCUAACAGUGUUCAAAUGCUUUAUGACAGAAAUUAACGCAAUAUGCUGCAGGUGGAAAAACAGACCUUUUGUGUCGCUGCUGAUUUGUGCAUAACGUGUAUCAGCGAAGCCAAGCUUAGCACCUAGAGAGGAGGUGGAAUGAUUCUGCUGCGAGGGAGUUGGUGAACUGGGAACUGGAGAAGAUGCAUUCUUUGUCGAUUGAAUUUUGCCUUUGGCAAUCACAAA
rnacentral:misc_RNA from 1 species